UUUUUAAAUAUUUUAACCAUUUUGGCAAAAAUAAUUAGGCCAUGGAAUAAGAGCAUAUAUAUUCUUUUGAAUAAGAUUUGCUUUGAUUUGGUAGUUAAUUUUCGCAUUGAAUAAGCUAGUGACAGCCAUUGUAAAUAAGUUUCAACUCCAGGAUUUAUUUCACAAAAAUGGCAGCAAAAAUGUAUAUAUAGAUUAUGGAACCAUGAUGAAUUGAGAAUAGUCCAUCAGAUCAACCAAGCUUGAACAUCAUUUUAU
rnacentral:sRNA from 1 species